GACGAACGCUGGCGGCGUGCUUAACACAUGCAAGUCGAACGAAGUGGCGAACGGGUGAGUAACGCGUAAUCAACCUGCCCUUCAGAGGGGGACAACAGUUGGAAACGACUGCUAAUACCGCAUACUGAAGGAGGGGAUUGCGUCUGAUUAGCUCGUUGGAGGGGUAACGGCCCACCAGGGCGAUGAUCAGUAGCCGGUCUGAGGGGGUGGACGGGCACAUAGGGACUGAGACACGGCCCAGACUCCUACGGGAGGCAGCAGUGGGGAAUCGUCCGCAAUGGAGGAAAGUCUGAAGGAGCAACGCCGCGUGAGUGAUGACGGCCUUCGGGUUGUAAAGCUCUGUUAAUCGGGACGCGGUACCGGAGUAGAAAGCCACGGCUAACUACGUGCCAGCCGCCGCGGUAAUAC
rnacentral:rRNA from 1 species